CAAAAAAGUCGUUGUGAGUUUGUAACCGAAGCGUAAAAGCAGAAACAUAAAGACUAGAGAGAGAGAACAUUCAUAUCCCCAAAUUACCCUUACAGUUUCAAUACUAUGAAUCAAAACUACACAAGCUCCUUUUUCAUUUUCAUGGCCGAGAGAUUCACUUGUUGCACUUGAAGCCAUCCAACCCAUUCCAUUUUUGUUUCAUUCUAUUCCGCUUCAUUCCAUUCCGCUCAGAGAGACAUACAUACACACACUUUCACUUUUCUUAUUUUCUCGAAAAUCUUUCGAGAAAAUAAAAAUAAAAAAACUGAAAAAAAUAUGUCAGACUUUUGUCUAAAAAAUGGUCACUCCUUCGCGCUGCGAAGGAGGCUUCACAGCCGCGUAUCGUUGCUCCGGAGAUGUAUUCUUCGAGCUCUGCACCGACUGCUUGUCUGCUCAGGUAAGCAGCCCGGUGCUAAUGCUACAUACAGCAUGUUAACUCCGCAUUCAGCAUUGCCAUCUCCGCGGGCUUCGUUGUUGGAUUCCACCGUCGAAACUGCUAUCCAACCACCUGUUUUUAACACAAAUGAAUUGGAUACUGAUUUGGUUUCACUCAAAAUUAGCUUGUUGGGUGAUUGCCAAAUUGGAAAAACCAGCUUUUUGGUGAAAUAUGUUGGGAAUGAAAAAGAGCAGGGAGUGGAACAGAGGAAAGGACCAAAUCAAAUGGACAAAACAUUGGUUGUGAGUGGAGCACGUAUAUCCUAUUGUAUCUGGGAAGUACAAGGGGAUGGAAAAUCAGAAGACCAGCUUCCAAUGGCAUGUAAGGACUCAGUGGCAAUUUUGAUCAUGUUUGAUCUUACAAGUCGAUGCACAUUAAACAGUGUUCUGGGAUGGUAUAAAGAAGCAAGGAAAUGGAAUCAGACGGCAAUUCCGGUGUUGAUAGGAACCAAGUUUGAUGAUUUCAUUCAGCUCCCUAUUGAUAUGCAAUGGACCAUCGCUAGUGAGGCAAGAACAUAUGCAAAGGCAUUGAAUGCCACUUUGUUCUUUUCAAGUGCAACAUACAACAUCAAUGUCAACAAGAUCUUCAAGUUUAUCACUGCAAAACUCUUUGACUUACCUUGGACAGUGGAAAGGAAUCUAAAUGUUGGAGAACCCAUCAUUGAUUUCUGAAAAUCUAUGUGUACAUUUACGUAGAAGAAAAUGUUGAAGUAAUUUGCUCAAUCUCCAAAAAAUUAUGGAGUUGUGGCAAUCCAAAGUGUCUGCUGAAAUAAACAAAUCAAAUUACAUGGUUCUUUUGUUUUUUAUUGAUGAAGUAUUGGACAUCUUUAGAUUUGGUAGAGUUUCACAUCAUCAAUUAAUACUAAGGAACCAAAACUAACAUUAGUUAUGUGGUUUUCAAAUAUUAGAUUAUGGUCAAUUGAUUUUAAUCAA